CUGCUCAGUUGUGUAAAUGAGAUAAUUGUAAGUCGCCUUGGAUAAGGGUGUCAGCCAAAUGCCAUAAAUGUA